GGGAUCACCGCCGUCGAAAUUGGGGCGAGGAGUCCAGGAGGAGGUAGUGGCGGCGAGAUCGCCGGAUCAACUGAUCACGAGAUGGAGAUGAAAAGGAACAUGUCCCCGUCUCUGCAGUCGGUCCUUCGCGAAUGUAUGGAGGAGAGUGGUCUUUGGCUAGAACGCCUCAAAUUUGAGCAUCGCUCUGUAAUCAAUUCUUGGAAGCUUAUCUUUUCGGCUCCCCUUCAAAUUCUGACUAAUGUGUAACAAACUUUGUAGCUCUCCUUUAUAAUGGUAAAUUCAGGUGGGGAAUCUCCCCCCCCCCCCCCCCCCCGGGGUGACUUAUCUAAAAAAAACAGUACUAUCUUCCUGAUUAAGGAUAAGGAGGUGAGGGGAACAACAUCGUCAACUUGAAGCAAUUUGUUGCUUGUCUGUACGACUGUAAUUAUCACAAGCCUUCCAUGAGGCUAAUUGACCAUUGGAUGUCACAUCUUUGUGCUAUUAACAAAUGGAAGCGGCACACGUCAUAAGCUGAUUAGGUAAUGUUCUUCCCUUUGUUUACUGGGUGAGCCUGCAUUUCAUCAUUUCACUUCAUGAGUUGACGAGCUCAGAAAAAAAAAAUAAUCGGCCGACUUUCUC